rnacentral:misc_RNA from 1 species
GAACUGCGAUAAGUAAUGUGAAUUGCAGAAUUCAGUGAAUCAUCGAGUCUUUGAACGCACAUUGCGCCCCCUGGCAUUCCGGGGGGCAUGCCUGUCCGAGCGUCAUUGCUGCCCAUCAAGCCCGGCUUGUGUGUUGGGUCGUCGUCCCCCCCGGGGGACGGGCCCGAAAGGCAGCGGCGGCACCGUGUCCGGUCCUCGAGCGUAUGGGGCUUUGUCACCCGCUCGACUAGGGCCGGCCGGGCGCCAGCCGACGUCUCCAACCAUUUUUCUUCAGGUUGACCUCGGAUCAGGUAGGGAUAUCCGCUGAACUUAGGC